rnacentral:rRNA from 1 species
UAUCAAGUCUCUUGUGAAAUCUAAUGGCUUAACCAUUAAACUGCUUGGGAAACUGAUAGUCUAGAGUGAGGGAGAGGCAGAUGGAAUUGGUGGUGUAGGGGUAAAAUCCGUAGAUAUCACCAAGAAUACCCAUUGCGAAGGCGAUCUGCUGGAACUCAACUGACGCUAAGGCGCGAAAGCGUGGGGAGCAAACAGGAUUAGAUACCCUGGUAGUCCACGCCCUAAACGAUGUACACUAGUUGUUGGGGUGCUAGUCAUCUCAGUAAUGCAGCUAACGCAUUAAGUGUACCGCCUGGGGAGUACGGUCGCAAGAUUAAAACUCAAAGGAAUAGACGGGGACCCGCACAAGCGGUGGAGCAUGUGGUUUAAUUCGAAGAUACGCGAAGAACCUUACCUGGGCUUGAUAUCCUAAGAACCUUAUAGAGAUAUGAGGGUGCUAGCUUGCUAGAACUUAGAGACAGGUGCUGCACGGCUGUCGUCAGCUCGUGUCGUGAGAUGUUGGGUUAAGUCCCGCAACGAGCGCAACCCACGUAUUUAGUUGCUAACGGUUCGGCCGAGCACUCUAAAUAGACUGCCUUCGUAAGGAGGAGGAAGGUGUGGACGACGUCAAGUCAUCAUGGCCCUUAUGCCCAGGGCGACACACGUGCUACAAUGGCAUAUACAAUGAGACGCAAUACCGCGAGGUGGAGCAAAUCUAUAAAAUAUGUCCCAGUUCGGAUUGUUCUCUGCAACUCGAGAGCAUGAAGCCGGAAUCGCUAGUAAUCGUAGAUCAGCCAUGCUACGGUGAAUACGUUCCCGGGUCUUGUACUCACCGCCCGUCACACCAUGGGAGUUGAUUUCACUCGAAGCCGGAAUACUAAACUAGUUACCGUCCACAGUGGAAUCAGCGACUGGGGUGAAGUCGUAACAAGGUAACCGUAGGAGAACCUGCGGUUGGAUCACCUCCUUUCUA